rnacentral:rRNA from 1 species
ACGUAAGGGGCAAGCGUUAUCCGGAUUUACUGGGUGUAAAGGGAGCGCAGACGGCACUGCAAGUCUGAAGUGAAAGCCCGGGGCUCAACCCCGGGACUGCUUUGGAAACUGUAGAGCUAGAGUGCUGGAGAGGCAAGCGGAAUUCCUAGUGUAGCGGUGAAAUGCGUAGAUAUUAGGAAGAACACCAGUGGCGAAGGCGGCUUGCUGGACAGUAACUGACGUUCAGGCUCGAAAGCGUGGGGAGCAAACAG